ACCCACAAAAACACUUUGUCAAAUAAGAAGGUCCUCAUUGAAAAGUGUGGUUGGCGUUAGACAAAUAAAUCAUGUACUCUCUUCAUAAUAUUUCUUCAAAACUGAGGAAGUUCAACGCCUGUUGUUAGCUGACUUGUUUUUUAUAUUCAAAUAUGUACUGAAAAGUGAUGUUCAUGAAAUAGACACACGCAAACUGUUGGUACAAUCACAAAUACAUGUAAAUGUCAAAAGUUCAAGAAAUACUUCUAAAUGUUAGCCUUCUCGACUGAUUUAAUAAACGCCUGUGAAAAGAGCCCGAGGAAUUUCCUAUAAGAAUUACGCUUUUGGACCGUUACGGCAUCCUGGUUAGAAGAAACAUGUACCACAAAGCAGAACGCUGUACAUGUCGUGAUAUGUGGUACAAUGUACAGACAUGGAGGAGCUCAGCAGACGGCUGAUAUGUUAGGGUGUAUUAUGGAUCCUGUUUCAAAGAAACUUCAACUGACCGAUAUAUUCAAGAGAAAAUCACUGUAUGACGAUGUAUGAGUACUUUAUUAAAUUAUUAAAGUAGAAAGCGUAUCAACAUA